UGUUUCAGCAAAAAGGAAAAAACAAAUGGAGAAACGUCAGAGAUGCUACCUGGAUGCCAUAUAGUAUCAGAGGAAAAUGAAAUUGCAGACAUUCCCAUACAGGAAGUUGGAGAGGAAACGCCAGAGAUGCUAACCAGAUGCUAAACAGUACCAGGAACAUCUCCUACUGCAGAGUAAAUGUGAUCUAGAAUCCAGUUUACAAUCCAGGUUGGAUUCUAGCACAUUGUCUUUGCAGUGAUGAGAAAUAAAACAAGUCCAAGUUUGAUUUCCUGAACUUUACUACAGACUGAAAAUAUCCUCUAAGAGCUGCUUGUCUACAGUCUGCAUCAUUAUUUCACAUAGAUGUUAUUAAAUGUUGUAGGACGACUGUCAGAUGUUGUGAAACUAUUGAAAGUUAUUGUGUUUAUUAGUUUUCUUGUUAAAAUGAUCUAAUGAUCCCUGUAGAUGAUUCAAACCAAACAUACAGAAGUGAAUGUGGAAGUAUUUUUAUUUUGGAUUUACAGGAGCAACAGCUGUGAGUUAUAUUGUUCCCUUUAAAAUGGAGGCUAGAGGGAUCGGCCCUGUGAGUACUGACACAGGGGAAGAUAGAAAUAAAAGCAACUUUAAAUAGAGAUUCAUCCUUUAAACCAGUAAAUGUUACAAACCUGUGAAAACAUGUUGGAUGAAAACUAAAUGUAGCUGCUGAAGAGUCUUGAUACUAAGAGCUCAUUAAUCAUCAACAUUUAUUGACUUAUAAUUCACCCAGACUGGGAUGUAAAAUGUACUAAUUAGUGUUCAUGUAUUGUGGUUGUGAUUGUGCACCACAGUGAUUCAUCAGACUCAUAAAGAGCUACAAGGACCUAAGAAUUUUGAUUUCAGAUGAUAUACAUGUAAUAAUGUACAGUAUGAGUGUGUAUAUAAGUUCUUUUUGCACGUUUGUUUUGUACUGAACAUACUUUGUUAAGUUAUGUUUAAAAGAUGUGUAUAGAUGUAUAAAAAGUGUAUUUUGUGUUCAUUUCAACGUUUAAAAAGACAUUAAAGUCUUUAAUCAUG